ACAAUGUCUAAGAUGCUUGAAGUAUGGU
rnacentral:sRNA from 1 species